ACACGUGACACGGGGUGCCCGCGAGGGCUGAGAUCACACCCGUCGAACCUGAUCUAGUUCGGACUAGCGAAGGGAUGUCGCGCCAUGUCGCG
rnacentral:ncRNA from 2 species